GGGCAGCAUGGGGUGUAGCAAUACACUCUGAUGGCGACCGGCAAACGGGUGCGGAACACGUACGCAACUUACCCAUAACUGAUGAAUAGCCCUCCGAAAGGAGGAUUAAUACAUCGUAACAUUGUGAAGUGGCAUCACUUUAUAAUUAUAGCUCCGGCGGUUAUGGAUGGGCGUGCGGCUGAUUAGGUAGUUGGUUGAGGUAACGGCUCACCAAGCCUUCGAUCAGUAACUGGUGUGAGAGCACGACCAGUCACACGGGCACUGAGACACGGGCCCGACUCCUACGGGAGGCAGCAGUAAGGAAUAUUGGUCAAUGGACGCAAGUCUGAACCAGCCAUGCCGCGUGAAGGAUGAAGGUCCUCUGGAUUGUAAACUUCUUUUACAGGGGAAGAAACCCGGGAAUUCUUUUCCGGUUGACGGUACCCUGGGAAUAAGCACCGGCUAACUCCGUGCCAGCAGCCGCGGUAAUACGGAGGGUGCAAGCGUUAUCCGGAUUCACUGGGUUUAAAGGGUGCGUAGGAGGGUAGGUAAGUCAGUGGUGAAAUCUCCGGGCUCAACUCGGAAACUGCCGUUGAUACUAUCUAUCUUGAAUACCGUGGAGGUGAGCGGAAUAUGUCAUGUAGCGGUGAAAUGCUUAGAUAUGACAUAGAACACCAAUUGCGAAGGCAGCUCACUACACGAAUAUUGACUCUGAGGCACGAAAGCGUGGGGAUCAAACAGGAUUAGAUACCCUGGUAGUCCACGCCCUAAACUAUGGAUACUCGACAUACGCGAUACACUGUGUGUGUCUGAGCGAAAGCAUUAAGUAUCCCACCUGGGAAGUACGACCGC
rnacentral:rRNA from 1 species